UACGAGGGGUCCUAGCGUUGUUCGGAAUCAUUGGGCGUAAAGCGGGUGUAGGCGGCCAUUCAAGUGAGGUGUGAAAUCCCUGGGCUUAACCUAGGAAGUGCAUUUCAUACUGUUUGGCUUGAGUACGGGAGAGGGUAGUAGAAUUCCUGGUGUAGUGGUGAAAUACGUAGAUAUCAGGAGGAAUACCGGUGGCGAAGGCGGCUACCUGGCCCAGUACUGACGCUCAGACCCGAAAGCGUGGGGAUCAAACAGG
rnacentral:rRNA from 1 species